CGGGGCGCUGCAGCAGUGAGGAAUAUUGCACAAUGGGGGAAACCCUGAUGCAGCAACGCCGCGUGGAGGAUGACGCAUUUCGGUGUGUAAACUCCUUUUAUAUGUCAAGAAAAUGACGGUAGCAUAUGAAUAAGCACCGGCUAACUCCGUGCCAGCAGCCGCGGUAAUACGGAGGGUGCAAGCGUUACUCGGAAUCACUGGGCGUAAAGGACGCGUAGGCUGGUUGGUAAGUCAGGUGUGAAAUCCUACAGCUUAACUGUAGAACUGCACUUGAAACUACCAACCUAGAGUAUGGGAGGGGGAGAUGGAAUUAGUGGUGUAGGGGUAAAAUCCGUAGAUAUCACUAGGAAUACCGAAAGCGAAGGCGAUCUCCUGGAACAUAACUGACGCUAAGGCGUGAAAGCGUGGGGAGCAAACAGGAUUAGAUACCCUCGUAGUC
rnacentral:rRNA from 1 species